rnacentral:lncRNA from 1 species
GGGGUUUCCUAUGGGAAUAAAAGUGAGGGGACCCUAGAAUUCGAGUUACACUCAUUCACAGCAGGUUCCCACCCUGGGGUGGGCUUGUGGCUCCUUGGCGACGAGACUGCUGUUUGCCCUCCAGGUGUGUCCAGGAGUGCCUGCUAGGCGCGCCCUGCUUUCCUAGGCAUUUUCUAAAGGCUGCCUGAGGAAUUCUACGAUUGAGGUCUGGCUGCUUCUCAGGUCCUCCUGGGGAAAAGCUCAGUCAAGUGAUUAAAAAUAGUCACAUAAAGAGGGGAGCAAGGAUGGUAGUGGUGUAAUCAUGGGCUUCCCAACCUCUGGCCUGAGCAAUCCUUUGUCUCUUUGUUCGUGAUACCCUUUGUCCUCUUACUAUGGAGGC